UAUAUAUAUUUAUUUAUUUAUUUAUUUAUUUAUGUACAGUUUAUAUCAAAGAACCUUUAAAAGAACAAAAUAAUCAAGCAUCUGUAAUCAGUUCAAUCUAAGUCUAGUUUAGAGCUGUGAUAAUAAUCUCAAUGUAAUUAAAUAAUCUUUGUAACUUUGUUUAAGAUCCCCUCCCCUCCUCCUAAAUAUUGUUCCCUGGUCCAAAUUUAUACCAUUUUUUUAUGGUCAAGAAUGUCAUAAUUUAAAAUUUAUGUCAUUUAAAAUAAAAUACUUGUCAAUGCUAUAUUCUGGGGGAAAAAAAAGAAACUAUUAGAAACUUUCCACUAUGGAGAAAUUCUCUUUGGAACAUACUUGAUAUACUUACAUUUAUUUUACAUAAAGUUACUGGGAUCCAAAAAAAUAGAUUAUUUAAAUUUUGAGUUUUGGGAACUCAUUUUGAAGGUCAAAAAAUUAUAUCUUUAUUGUCCAAUUCAUUUUUUGCGAAGUUGUUCUUAGACUUGAUCAUGAGAGGCCUCAUUAAGGAAUAAUUUGAACUGUAAAGUAACACUUCAUGGAGAGAAAAAAAACGGGCCUCAAUCUUAGUAACUGUGAUGUAUCCCUUUAGAAAUUGUGUGAUCUAACCCUUACUCUUUCACACAUUAACAACACAGGGCUCAAUCUUAGUAACUGUCUGAUCUAUUCCUUCCUCUUUCACACACUAAUAAGACCUUGUUGAUGAGUGAAAGAUAUUUUAAAGAGAAGUUAUAUGCCAAGUAAUAAGUACAUUAAAAAAAAACUUUUUAAAAUGUACUUUCAUCCUUAUCUUUGGAAUUUGUUUUUGUUGUUUAAUUUUAUGUUAGCUGUUCUGUACAUUUGAAAGUCAAAUUGCACAUGAAAUCCAAAAUAAAAACAGUGACAUUUCUUAAUUUGAUUAAUUAUGAAAAUAUUAUGUUUCUUUCAUUUUAAAUUUGCUUUCUUUUUUCUUUUUUUUUAAAUAGGGGUUGUACAU